rnacentral:misc_RNA from 1 species
GCAAACUUGGUCAUUUAGAGGAAGUAAAAGUCGUAACAAGGUUUCCGUAGGUGAACCUGCGGAAGGAUCAUUAACGAGUUUGAAAUGGGUUGUAGCUGGCCUUCCGAGGCAUGUGCACGCCCUGCUCAUCCACUCUACACCUGUGCACUUACUGUGGGUUUAGAAACGCUGCGCUCCGGCGCGGUGGGUCUGGCCCACGUCUUAUACAAACGCUUAGUAUCAGAAUGUAACUUGCGAUAUAACGCAUUUUAAUACAACUUUCAGCAACGGAUCUCUUGGCUCUCGCAUCGAUGAAGAACGCAGC